CCAUACCAGCCGGGGAGUUAGCGGUGCCCUGUACCUGAAAUCCGCUAUAGCAGGGGUGGAUUCCCUUUUGAGGACAGCACUUCUAUGUAUUGAGCCCGAGUCUUCUGUGUUGACGAACGGGUCUUGCGCAAUCGUGAGCCGUGAACCAUGUCAGGUGGGGAACCAAGCAGCAUUAAGCGGUCAACCCGAUGUGCCGCAAGGUUGCCUGUUCCGAGCAGAGAUUCGGGAUAUCGCGUGGAAGGAAAGUUCGACUAAAGGGUGUAUGG
rnacentral:SRP_RNA from 1 species